GUUUCGACGUUCUGCCACGUUCCUUCCCCAAAUCACUGAGCAUGUGGAUAAUAUCUCUAACAGUGUUCGUGUAAGGUGAAAUGGAGUGGUUGUGUCCUGGUACAAGUUGUUUUCUUGAGUUAAUUACACAAUAACUGAUGAGAUGCUUUUUUGUGGCCAAACGGAGAGGAGCCCUUCAUCUCACUAGCCAAGAGUCAAACAGCGAAUUGGGUGGUCGUAAUCCUCCUGCAGCCAAACCCUGCGACCUGCAGUUCCUCCCCUAGUGAGGCCUGUCAGGGGGGGAGCAUGUCUGACAUGUGGUCUCUGGAGAGGAUGCUGAACCGGACCACUCUCUCCACACAGAGGCUGCUCCACACACACAUCCUGGCGUCUGCAGGUGCACUUCAAAGAGGCCGUGCUGGCGAGGGAGAGGCUGGAGGCCGAGUGGAGGCAGGGCGAGCGGGUAGCGCAGCAGGCCGUGUUUGCGGAGCGCCUCGUGGGGCUGCGGGAGGAGAUGGAGAGAGAGAUGAGACUGGCGGUGAUUGAGAUGUGUGGGAGGAUGAGGGCCAAGAUGCAGGGAGAGGCGGAAGAGGAGAGACUGAGAGAGGCAGAGGCCGUGGAGGCUAAAAUACAGGAGGAGAGAGAGAGGAGUGUUAGGGAGACGGAGCUACGAGUCCAACGGCAGUGUGAACAAGAGGCUCAGGAGGACCGAGAGGCUCUCCAGGAAAGACAUGCAGUGGAACUUUGCCGAAUGCAGACCAGGCAGUGGCAGCUGGAGCAGACUUUGUCCCGGGUCACAGGGGAGAAGAUGCGAUACGAAACAGAGUUUAAGAGAUUACAGUGUAGCUACAGACAGUUUGUGGAUCUGACCGAGUCCUCCCUCCACUCUGACUACCUGUUGAAGCUCCGUCACCUUGGUCGAGAGCCUGGAUACACUGAUGUGGGCGUUCAAACGGAUGAUGUCAUCAACGAGGGACACCUUCCCGGAUCAACUCAGUGAUGCAUCUUCCUGCUGCUCGAGGCAGGGGUACUGAGACACGUGCCUUUUGGAUCAGCUAAUUGUUUGCAAUCUUGAUCUGAACUAUUAGCUGUUAAAGUGUAACUCUGAUCUUAGAUCAGCACACAGGAACAUUAUCUGUCACCUUGGGCGUUCCAGUGGAGCUCCCAAAUGCCUCUGCUCUGUCAUCAGGAAUGUGUCCAUAUAGGGAAUGAAAAUUAUGCCACA
ensembl:lncRNA